rnacentral:rRNA from 1 species
UACGUAGGGUGCGAGCGUUGUCCGGAUUUAUUGGGCGUAAAGAGCUCGUAGGCGGUCUGUCGCGUCGGAUGUGAAAACCCAGGGCUCAACCCUGGGCCUGCAUUCGAUACGGGCAGACUAGAGUGUGGCAGGGGAGACUGGAAUUCCUGGUGUAGCGGUGAAAUGCGCAGAUAUCAGGAGGAACACCGGUGGCGAAGGCGGGUCUCUGGGCAGUAACUGACGCUGAGGAGCGAAAGCGUGGGGAGCGAACAGG